rnacentral:rRNA from 1 species
UACAGAGGGUGCAAGCGUUGUUCGGAAUUAUUGGGCGUAAAGGGCGCGUAGGCGGUGCGGUAAGUCUGUAGUGAAAUCUCUGGGCUCAACUCAGAGUCUGCUGCAGAAACUGCCGUGCUUGAGUGUGGGAGAGGCGAGUGGAAUUCCCAGUGUAGCGGUGAAAUGCGUAGAUAUUGGGAGGAACACCAGUGGCGAAGGCGGCUCGCUGGACCGGUUCUGACGCUGAGGCGCGAAAGCGUGGGGAGCAAACGGG